AUUGAACGCUGGCGGCAUGCCUUACACAUGCAAGUCGAACGGUAACAGGUCUUCGGAUGCUGACGAGUGGCGAACGGGUGAGUAAUACAUCGGAACGUGCCCGAUCGUGGGGGAUAACGGAGCGAAAGCUUUGCUAAUACCGCAUACGAUCUACGGAUGAAAGCAGGGGACCGCAAGGCCUUGCGCGGACGGAGCGGCCGAUGGCAGAUUAGGUAGUUGGUGGGAUAAAAGCUUACCAAGCCGACGAUCUGUAGCUGGUCUGAGAGGACGACCAGCCACACUGGGACUGAGACACGGCCCAGACUCCUACGGGAGGCAGCAGUGGGGAAUUUUGGACAAUGGGCGAAAGCCUGAUCCAGCCAUGCCGCGUGCAGGAUGAAGGCCUUCGGGUUGUAAAGCUCUGUCUGGAGGGACGAAGGAAGUGACGGUACCUCCGGAGGAAGCCACGGCUAACUACGUG
rnacentral:rRNA from 1 species